AUUGAACGCUGGCGGCAGGCUUAACACAUGCAAGUCGAGCGGGGUGAUGGUGCUUGCACUAUCACUUAGCGGCGGACGGGUGAGUAAUGCUUAGGAAGCUGCCUAUUAGUGGGGGACAACAUCUCGAAAGGGAUGCUAAUACCGCAUACGUCCUACGGGAGAAAGCAGGGGAUCACUUGUGACAUGGCGCUAAUAGAUGAGCCUAAGUCGGAUUAGCUAGUUGGUGGGGUAAAGGCCUACCAAGGCGACGAUCUGUAGCGGGUCUGAGAGGAUGAUCCGCCACACUGGGACUGCGACACGGCCCAGACUCCUACGGGAGGCAGCAGUGGGGAAUAUUGGACAAUGGGGGGAACCCUGAUCCAGCCAUGCCGCGUGUGUGAAGAAGGCCUUAUGGUUGUAAAGCACUUUAAGCGAGGAGGAGGCUCUUUUGGUUAAUACCCAAGAUGAGUGGACGUUACUCGCAGAAUAAGCACCGGCUAACUCUGUGCCAGCCGCCGCGGUAA
rnacentral:rRNA from 1 species